GGAGCCUUAUGAGGAAAUGUAGGCCAAAGAAGUACUAAACCCAAUGAUUUACGCUGGGAACAGGAGGGGUGUCGUGGGAAAGUCACGUGAGGACACUAAGGAGAUUUCUGACGGAGGCCCUGUAUUUGAAUCUUAUUAAUUCCCUCCUUCUUUGUUAUCCCUAAUUAUAGAGUUGUCAAUCUCAAAACCCACAAAAGAAGGAAAUUUGAAAACAUUCUGAAUCUGUAUUAUACUAUUGAAUUCAUGUGGGUUUUUUUAUAUAGCUAGAGGGAGACAGCUUUAAAUGAACUUUUCACAGGGAAAAAAAAUAGGUGAGUGUUUAACAUAAAAAAAGGGAAUUGACAGAUAUGUAAUUAUUUUAGUGUCUCCACUUUGUUUCUUUCUUCGCCGUUGUCAGCUGCCUUCUCUUUUGAUUCACCAACAUACCCCCCGAAAGUUAUUCCUUUUAGCAUUCUUUUGCUGUGUGUGCAAAGCAGACGAUGAACAGACACCCCCUUGGGUCUCCUCUUCAGGUGAAGCCCACAGGGCUGAGCUCCAGGAGCUUAGAGGUGGAAGUCAUCAGAAAUCUGGCGGAUUUGAUCCACAGCAAUAGACUCAAAAGUAGCACAUGUAAGAACUGCCUUGUAAUGACCAGUUUUCAACAUGAAACUACUCAUGUGUGUGCAAUGGAGGAUCCACUGAAAAACCAACUAAAUGCUUUUAAUUAGAAGGGAACCAAAGGUGUAUGUCACUUGGAUGGCCAGACAUGAGUUUCACUCAUGUAAGCAGGUUGACACUAUUGUAAUCCUAUUACCCUGGCAUCAAUAACAGUCAUGAUUCAGGUGAGGGGAACACAAGGACAGAUGUGACAUGCAGAAAGCGUUUUACCAAACGAAAGGGAAAACACAGGAGGACAGGAUUGAAAUCCAGCCGGGGAAUCACGCCUGUUUGACUAACUGUGACCUCUUACCUCUGUGUAUGGUAACUGUUUCUUUAACCUGAACCUACA